AACUAACAGCUUGCAAACAGUUUCAGUAAAGAUACAAUUAUAAAACAUAGAGCCAAUUAUAAAGUUUUCACAAAUAAAAGUAAAGUAAAACAAUCAUAGAUAACAUGCACAGUUGUAAGUCUAAGUAUCUAACAACGUCA